GAUAACGGCGUCGAGCGGCGGACGGGUGAGUAAUGCCUAGGAAAUUGCCCUGAUGUGGGGGAUAACCAUUGGAAACGAUGGCUAAUACCGCAUGAUGCCUACGGGCCAAAGAGGGGGACCUUCGGGCCUCUCGCGUCAGGAUAUGCCUAGGUGGGAUUAGCUAGUUGGUGAGGUAAGGGCUCACCAAGGCGACGAUCCCUAGCUGGUCUGAGAGGAUGAUCAGCCACACUGGAACUGAGACACGGUCCAGACUCCUACGGGAGGCAGCAGUGGGGAAUAUUGCACAAUGGGCGCAAGCCUGAUGCAGCCAUGCCGCGUGUGUGAAGAAGGCCUUCGGGUUGUAAAGCACUUUCAGUCGUGAGGAAGGUAGUGUAGUUAAUAGCUGCAUUAUUUGACGUUAGCGACAGAAGAAGCACCGGCUAACUCCGUGCCAGCAGCCGCGGUAAUACGGAGGGUGCGAGCGUUAAUCGGAAUUACUGGGCGUAAAGCGCAUGCAGGUGGUUUGUUAAGUCAGAUGUGAAAGCCCGGGGCUCAACCUCGGAAUAGCAUUUGAAACUGGCAGACUAGAGUACUGUAGAGGGGGGUAGAAUUUCAGGUGUAGCGGUGAAAUGCGUAGAGAUCUGAAGGAAUACCGGUGGCGAAGGCGGCCCCCUGGACAGAUACUGACACUCAGAUGCGAAAGCGUGGGGAGCAAACAGGAUUAGAUACCCUGGUAGUCCACGCCGUAAACGAUGUCUACUUGGAGGUUGUGGCCUUGAGCCGUGGCUUUCGGAGCUAACGCGUUAAGUAGACCGCCUGGGGAGUACGGUCGCAAGAUUAAAACUCAAAUGAAUUGACGGGGGCCCGCACAAGCGGUGGAGCAUGUGGUUUAAUUCGAUGCAACGCGAAGAACCUUACCUACUCUUGACAUCCAGAGAACUUUCCAGAGAUGGAUUGGUGCCUUCGGGAACUCUGAGACAGGUGCUGCAUGGCUGUCGUCAGCUCGUGUUGUGAAAUGUUGGGUUAAGUCCCGCAACGAGCGCAACCCUUAUCCUUGUUUGCCAGCGAGUAAUGUCGGGAACUCCAGGGAGACUGCCGGUGAUAAACCGGAGGAAGGUGGGGACGACGUCAAGUCAUCAUGGCCCUUACGAGUAGGGCUACACACGUGCUACAAUGGCGCAUACAGAGGGCGGCCAACUUGCGAAAGUGAGCGAAUCCCAAAAAGUGCGUCGUAGUCCGGAUUGGAGUCUGCAACUCGACUCCAUGAAGUCGGAAUCGCUAGUAAUCGUGGAUCAGAAUGCCACGGUGAAUACGUUCCCGGGCCUUGUACACACCGCCCGUCACACCAUGGGAGUGGGCU
rnacentral:rRNA from 1 species